rnacentral:tRNA from 1 species
AGCGGCGGGGCUCAGUGGAAAGAGCCCGGGCUUGAGAGUCGGAGGACGUGGGUUCUGCUCCCGCCUCCGCCG